UACGUAGGGGGCAAGCGUUGUCCGGAUUUAUUGGGCGUAAAGAGCGUGUAGGCGGCUAUACAGGUCCGUUGUGAAAACUGGAGGCUUAACCUCCAGACGUCGAUGGAAACCGUAUGGCUAGAGUCCGGAAGAGGAGAAUGGAAUUCCCGGUGUAGCGGUGAAAUGCGCAGAUAUCGGGAAGAACACCCGUGGCGAAGGCGGUUCUCUGGGACGGUACUGACGCUGAGACGCGAAAGCGUGGGGAGCGAACAGG
rnacentral:rRNA from 1 species